GCGGGAGUAGUUCAAUGGCAGAACGCGUCGUUGCCAACGACGAGGUUGCGGGUUCAAUCCCCGUCUCCCGCUCCA
rnacentral:tRNA from 1 species